UGGGCUCUGGGACUCUGACUGACCAGGCACGGGGGUGAUAAGGUGACGCUUGGGUGGCGUGUCCUGCCGGGCUGGUCUCAAAGCAGGAGGCCGGACUGGUUGGAGAGAUGAACAGGUCAGCGGCAAGGUACCCCGCCAGGCUCCGGGACGGAGGCAGCUCAAGGGGCUCGGCAAUCUCUGCAGCCCUCUCCACCACGGGGUCCCAUCCCCACCCCCAGCAGGGCUCAGGACCCAGAAGCCCCGCCCCCCACUGCUGACCUGCCCUGCUCUUGAGGGCCUCAAAAGCCUCCAGCUCCACAAGCAUCACCAUGCUGUCGAAGCGGCCCAGAUGCGGAAACAGGCUCAGAGAGAAGGACUUCACUCAAAGCCACACAGAUAAGGAAGUGUGAAGAGGGACUGGAACCCGGGAAGUCUAACUCUUGCCUGCUCUGGUGCCGGAAAAGGAUGUGCAGGGAGUGGACUCUCCUCCCCACCCCCACAUCCCAGGCAGAAGGAAGGAAUUUGAGCCAAACUCUAGGCUGUGUGCCUGGCUGUCCCAGCAUAUGUCUGCACACAGACCUACAAAUUAGGCUUUGUUCGGGGCUAGAAUAGGAGCCUUGGGGAAGGGCCUCUCCAAUCAGUUCCCUUGGAGGGGGGCGGGGUGGAGCCCCUUCUGCCUGGCACUGCCCGGAUGCCACCAGCCACACCCCACUGACUCUGAAGACCUGAACACUGGGAGCCAUCCCAUUUGGACAGCACAUCGCCCCCUCGUGGCAAGAGGGAGACUGAGUCAGGGACACGCACGCAUAGAACACUUUCUAUGGGCACAGGCACAGAGACAGAGCAUGCCUUGGUGGUCAGAGUGAGUCAUUCAUAAAUAUCUGGAAAUAAAUACAAUACAAAUGAUGUGUGUGGCCCCAAAC
rnacentral:lncRNA from 1 species